GACGAACGCUGGCGGCGUGCUUAACACAUGCAAGUCGAACGGAAAGGCCCUGCUUUUGUGGGGUGCUCGAGUGGCGAACGGGUGAGUAACACGUGAGUAACCUGCCCUUGACUUUGGGAUAACUUCAGGAAACUGGGGCUAAUACCGGAUAGGAGCUCCUGCUGCAUGGUGGGGGUUGGAAAGUUUCGGCGGUUGGGGAUGGACUCGCGGCUUAUCAGCUUGUUGGUGGGGUAGUGGCUUACCAAGGCUUUGACGGGUAGCCGGCCUGAGAGGGUGACCGGCCACAAUGGGACUGAGAUACGGCCCAGACUCCUACGGGAGGCAGCAGUGGGGAAUAUUACACAAUGGGCGGAAGCCUGAUGCAGCAACGCCGCGUGCGGGAUAACGGCCUUCGGGUUGUAAACCGCUUUCGCCUGUGACGAAGCGUGAGUGACGGUAAUGGGUAAAGAAGCACCGGCUAACUACGUG
rnacentral:rRNA from 1 species